CCUACGGGAGGCAGCAGUGGGGAAUAUUGGGCAAUGGGCGCAAGCCUGACCCAGCAAUGCCGCGUGAAGGAAGAAGGCUUUCGGGUUGUAAACUUCUUUGACAGGGGAAGAGCGGAAGACGGUACCCUGAAAACAAGCCACGGCUCACUACUGGCCAGCAGCCGCGGUAAUACGUAGGUGGCAAGCGUUGUCCGGAUUUACGGGGUGUAAAGGGCGUGUAGCCGGGAAGGCAAGUCCGAUGUGAAAUCUGGAGGCUCAACCUCCAAAUUGCAUUUGAAACUGUUUUUCUUGAGUACGGGAGAGGCAGACGGAAUUCCUUGUGUAGCGGUGAAAUGCGUAGAUAUAAGGAGGAACACCAGUGGCGAAGGCGGUCUGCUGGACAGCAACUGACGGUGAGGCGCGAAAGCGUGGGGAGCAAACAGGAUUAGAUACCCUGGUAGUC
rnacentral:rRNA from 1 species